rnacentral:rRNA from 1 species
AGAGUUUGAUCAUGGCUCAGGAUGAACGCUAGCGGCAGGCUUAAUACAUGCAAGUCGAGGGGCAGCGGGGUGUAGCAAUACAUCGCCGGCGACCGGCGCACGGGUGCGUAACACGUAUGGAAUCUGCCCUGUACUGGAGGAUAGCCCGGAGAAAUCCGGAUUAAUACUCCAUAAUCGUCGAGGUGGCAUCACCUUGAUCUGAAAGCUCCGGCGGUACAGGAUGACCAUGCGCACGAUUAGCUAGUUGGUGAGGUAACGGCUCACCAAGGCUACGAUCGUUAGGGGGCCUGAGAGGGUUAUCCCCCACACUGGUACUGAGACACGGACCAGACUCCUACGGGAGGCAGCAGUGAGGAAUAUUGCGCAAUGGAGGAAACUCUGACGCAGCCAUGCCGCGUGCAGGAAGAAGGCGCUACGCGUUGUAAACUGCUUUUAACCGGGAAGAAACCCCAGGACGUGUCCUGGGUUGACGGUACCGGAGGAAUAAGCACCGGCUAACUUCGUGCCAGCAGCGGCGGUAAUAC